rnacentral:tRNA from 1 species
AAGGCUUUAGCUUAAUUAAAGUGUCUGUUUUGCAUACAGGAGAUGUGGGUUAAAAGCCCGCAAGUCUUA